rnacentral:tmRNA from 1 species
GGGGGUGUAACGGUUUCGACAGUAGUUUAGAAAUAUAAAUAGCGAGUAGUGGAUGGUUGCUUUGGCCACUAUAAAAAAGCAAAAUUAAAUAUAAACGCUGAUAACGAAGAAUUAGCAUUCGCUGCCUAAUUGCAGUGACGUCUUAUCUAUAAUACCCACGGUAUAGAAUAAGGCGACGAAUUAGUGGGAAACGAAACUAUUUUUUGCUAGGAAAAUAGUGGGAUUUUUAUAGCUACUUUAAAAAUGAGUUUGUUUGUUAACUUAUUUUUAGAGGAAUAAAUAAUAACAAACUGCACUCGGAGAAGUUUAUAUGGAAGAGCUAUUGGACAGGAGUUCGAUUCUCCUCACCUCCACCA